UACGAAGGGGGCUAGCGUUGUUCGGAAUUACUGGGCGUAAAGCGCACGUAGGCGGAUUGUUAAGUUAGGGGUGAAAGCCCGGGGCUCAACCCCGGGAGGCGGGUGGAUACUGCUCAGCUCGAGUCCGGAAGAGGAGUGUGGAAUUCCUGGUGUAGCGGUGAAAUGCGCAGAUAUCAGGAGGAACACCGAUGGCGAAGGCAGGUCUCUGGGCCACUACUGACGCUGAGAAGCGAAAGCAUGGGGAGCGAACAGG
rnacentral:rRNA from 1 species